rnacentral:rRNA from 1 species
UACGUAGGGCGCAAGCGUUGUCCGGAAUUAUUGGGCGUAAAGAGCUCGUAGGCGGCCUGUUACGUCUGCUGUGAAAUCCCGGGGCUUAACCCCGGGCGUGCAGUGGAUACGGGCAGGCUGGAGGCAGGCAGGGGAGAACGGAAUUCCCGGUGUAGCGGUGAAAUGCGCAGAUAUCGGGAGGAACACCGGUGGCGAAGGCGGUUCUCUGGGCCUGUACUGACGCUGAGGAGCAAAAGCGUGGGGAGCAAACAGG